CUUAAAACCUAGCCUAAUUUUACACAUUUAAUAAUUUAAUUACAAAAUAAAACAUUUAAAUUUUAUAGUAAAGGUGAUUAAAAUAAUAUUUAGCGCUUAAGAUUUAGUACCGCAAGGGAAACCUGAAAUAAUAUGAAAACCAAAGCCCACAACAGCAGAGACUUUACCUCGUACCUUUCGCAUCAUGGUCUAGCUAGUCCAAUCAAGCAAAACGAAAUUUUAGUUUGCCUCCCCGAAACUAAGCGAGCUACUUCAAAACAGCCCAAAGAGCUAACCCGUCUCUGUAGCAAUAGAGUGGGAAGAUUUUCAAGUAGAAGUGAUAAACCUAUCGAGCUUAGAGAUAGCUGGUUAUUCAAUAAAAGAACAUAGUUCUGCCUUAAAUUUUCCAAUGCCAUCAAACAAAUUUAAGAGUUAGUCAACUAAGGCACAGCUUAUUUGAAAAAGGAUACAACCUUCACCCCUGGGUAAUUUAUAUCCUCUACGUCAAGUUGGCCUAAAAGCAGCCACCUUAAAAAGCGUUACAGCUUAACCUAGAAUCAAACAAAAUCCCAUUAACAAUCAAUAACCCUUCAACAUUACUGAAUGACUCUAUACUUAUAUAGAAACCACUAUGCUAGAACUAGUAACAAGAAUUUUAAUUCUCCAAAAUGUAAGCAUGUACCAAACUGAUAAUUAACGGAUAUGAAUUUACUACAGCAACCAUCAAGAAAACCCUGUAAAACUUCCCGUCAACCUAACACCAGGACAUUAAUGGAAAGAUUUAAAGAGGGAGAAGGAACUCGGCAAAUCUCGACCCCGCCUGUUUACCAAAAACAUCGCCUCUUGACUCACAAUAAGAGGUCUAGCCUGCCCAGUGACAAACUUCAACGGCCACGGUACCAUAACCGCGCAAAGGUAGCACAAUCACUUGUUCUUUAAAUAAGGACUAGUAUCAACGGCAUCACGAGGGUCACACCGUCUCCUCCCUCUAAUCAGUGAAACUGAUCUUCCCGUGAAGAAGCGGGAAUAAAAUUAUAAGACGAGAAGACCCCAUGGAGCUUUAGACUUUCAGCAACCAAAUAAUAUAUCCCUCAUAAACACAAAGUUAUGCCUAUCAGUCUUAGGUUGGGGCGACCGCGGAAUAAAAAUUAACUUCCACAACGAAAAGAGCUAAACCUUUAUCCAAGAAUUACUAUUCUAAGAACUAGAAUACUAACGUAAAAUGACCCGACAAACGAUCAACGAACCUAGUUACCCUGGGGAUAACAGCGCUAUCUACUUCAAGAGCCCAUAUCGACAAGUAGGCUUACGACCUCGAUGUUGGAUCAGGAUAUCCCAGUGGUGCAGUCGCUACUAAUGGUUCGUUUGUUCAACGAUUAAAA
rnacentral:rRNA from 1 species